rnacentral:rRNA from 1 species
AGAGUUUGAUCCUGGCUCAGGAUGAACGCUGGCGGCGUGCCUAACACAUGCAAGUCGAACGGACUCAUAUUGAAACCUAGUGAUUUAUGAGUUAGUGGCGGACGGGUGAGUAACGCGUGAAAAACCUGCCGUAUACCGGGGGAUAACACUAAAAAAUAGGUGCUAAUACCGCAUAAGCGCACAGCUUCGCAUGAAGCAGUGUGAAAAACUCCGGUGGUAUAUGAUGGUUCCGCGUCUGAUUAGCUAGUUGGCGGGGUAACGGCCCACCAAGGCAGCAAUCAGUAGCCGGCCUGAGAGGGUGAACGGCCUCAUUGGGACUGAAACACGGCCCAAACUCCUACGGGAGGCAGCAGUGGGGAAAUAUUGCACGGUGGGGGAAACCCUGAUGCACCGACGCCGCGUGAGUGAAAAAAUUUUUUCGGUACGUAAAGCUCUAUCAGCAAGGAAAAAAAAUGACGGGUACCUGACUAAAAACCCCCCGGCUAACUACCUGCCACCGGCCGCGGUAAAUACGUAGGGGGCAAGCCGUUAUUCUUUAUUUUUCUGGGUGUAAAAGGGGAACGUACACGGCACCCACGUCUGGAAGUGAAAUGCCGGGGCCC